AUUGAACGUUGGCGGCAUGCUUUACACAUGCAAGUCGAACGGUAACAGGGAGCUUGCUCCGCUGACGAGUGGCGAACGGGUGAGUAAUGCGUCGGAACGUGCCGAGUAGUGGGGGAUAACGCAUCGAAAGGUGUGCUAAUACCGCAUACGUACUGAGGUAGAAAGUGGGGGACCUUCGGGCCUCACGCUAUUCGAGCGGCCGACGUCUGAUUAGCUAGUUGGUGAGGUAAAGGCUCACCAAGGCGACGAUCAGUAGCGGGUCUGAGAGGAUGAUCCGCAACACUGGGACUGAGACACGGCCCAGCCCCCUACGGGAGGCAGCAGUGGGGAAUUUUGGACAAUGGGCGCAAGCCUGAUCCAGCCAUGCCGCGUGUCUGAAGAAGGCCUUCGGGUUGUAAAGGACUUUUGUCCGGGAGCAAAUGCCUGGUGUUAAUAGCAUCGGGAGCUGAGAGUACCGGAAGAAUAAGCACCGGCUAACUGCGUGCCAGCCGCCGCUGUAAAAC
rnacentral:rRNA from 1 species